UACAGAGGGUGCAAGCGUUAAUCGGAAUUACUGGGCGUAAAGCGUGCGUAGACGGUUAUGUAAGUCAGGUGUGAAAGCCCCGGGCUCAACCUGGGAAUUGCAUUUGAGACUGCAUAGCUAGGGUGCGGAAGAGGGAAGCGGAAUUUCCGGUGUAGCGGUGAAAUGCGUAGAUAUCGGAAGGAACAUCAGUGGCGAAAGCGGCUUCCUGGUCCAGCACCGACGUCAGGCACGAAAGCGUGGGGAGCAAACGGG
rnacentral:rRNA from 1 species